GGCCUAGGUGUGGUAAUUCUUAGUGAAACUGAUUCAUCUACAUCUUCUGAGACUGGAAGAAAUCCAAAGACAGAGGCCACCAGAGGCAUCCAGGAGGACCUGACAAGGAGAUCCCUCUGUGGGGAGCUGGUUAUCAAAUACUUAACCAAGGCCUUCUAGAGCCUUCCUUCAGACUGAGGGGACAGGUCUCCCCCUAGUCCAGAGGGACCACCUGAGGCAAGUGGGAAACCUUCUGUCUCUCACCAGGGAACUGAGGACCUGGUGCAGCUUCCAUGAGAAAGCUUAACUGUCACUAGUAUGGACACAAAGACGGUCAAGUGCCAUCAUUCCCAAUGGGAGCCCCGCCAGCUUCAGCAUCAGACCAAGAAUGGAUGCAGGUGGAUUCAGACGGGCACUGACUGUGCGGAAUUCACACCAGCCCUCCAAACCCACCCCCGCCACGUUCCUCUCUCCCCUUCCCGGGUCCCUUCUCAGACGGAGCAUUUCCCACAAGUCUCUGUUGACCCUGAGGAAAGGGAGAGACUCACCCCUCCCCCUCAAGGAAGGGACCACUGUCCCCAAACUUGCUUCAGGUGUUUUCAUAGCUAAGGGAACAGUAGUAGAGGGCUUCCAGCUCAACCUGUAACAUGAGAGGAGUAAAAUGCAAAAAUUUCAUUGAUGAAUGUAGUACUGUAGAUUAUAAAUAAAACAAAAAUAAAGGAACCAUUAUAAAGAAUAAAUGUGUUUUUUUCUCAAAUAGUUCUUUUUUCUCCCAAAAGGCUUGGCCACUGAGUCAAAGUGGGAAUGGAGCUCGGGCUUCCAACUUGUCCAGGCUCAGCUCUUCUGGAGGUGGUGCAGGGGUUGGCAGGGUCUGUAGUUGGGGAGGGGUGUGAGCUCCACCUGUCACUGGUUGUGUCCUGCUGCCUGGGGACGUCUGAGGAAAGCACCCUCCUGUCACCCCUUCGGACAACCUGCAGGCCUUAGUGCCUGUGAUUCUCUCCAGGACACACAGCGAUCACCCACAGGAAGGGGAAGGACACCGUGUGGUUUCACAGCAGAAAUCAGGCUGCUGCAUUUCACCUCGUGCUCCCUACCUUGCCACAGAGGCUUUUGCAACCCAGGCCUUCCUGGGAUCUGUUCCUGCCUCAUGGAUCUCUCAGGCAGCCUCUCCCCAUUCAUCAUGCACAGUCUUGAAUACAGAAAAAGAAUGGACAUCUCUAAGGAUCACAGCACCAUGUCCCCUCCUAGACAGCAUAGGGAUCACCCCUCCAAACACCUGUAAAAACACACGUCAAACUCUCACACCUGUGUUUCAGGUAGGCGUUCUCCCUGCUCUGCUGCACUCUCCUCCUCUCCCAAUCCCGAGCCCUCAUCUGUGGGAGAAAAACACACCCAUCAUCGGUUGUGCCAGACUGUGCCCCAAGAGAAGACGAGGAAAAGGAAAACACUUACCCAGUUAGCCACAGCAUUCCUCUCCUGCACUGCCAUCUGAAAAAAGCCAACACACCAAAAGCCCAUGUUCAGGGCUCUAAGGGCCACUACCGUCACCUGCAGGGGGCGCCAAGGGGUCAGUGUGUUGGGCACAAUUUAGGUUACUUGGUGAUUGAAGGUGAACUUUAGACUUCUGCAGCUGAUCUUGCAUGUAUUCCACUUGUCUGUGAGGGACAAUUGUUUUCAUCAGACAAAACCAACACUGGGUGUGAUUUUCAAUCAUCUGCCCCAAGUGACCAACAUCCUCUUAUCUGACCCCUCAUACAAUUGAUCCUGACACAGGAAACACUUUCACCUGAUUAUAAGUGGACAGUAGGAUCAAAGCUAUUGUUACAGCCUUUCCUUAAUCGUUCUUCUUCACCUGCAGGAUCAGAAUUGACAUAAUUUUCUUACCCGUUUUCAGUCUUUUCCUCAGUUAAUCACAUGACAAGUGUCUUUUGUCAUGAAGCUCUAUUCUCCUUUAACCUCUAUCCUUGCCAUGGUUCCCAGGGUUGCAAAGACCAGCGCCAUCAGAUGGCACUACCAUGUUUAUGGGUAGGACUCAUCCUAGGACCAACAGCUUUCCUCAAGAUUAGGACAACUGACACCACCCCAAGGGCACUGGUGUGGAGCCAGUUUCCACAGAGUCACACCAACGCUGGGGAUCAGGACAUGUUUAGUAAUGUAACUGUUUUGUUCCUUAUCUUUCCAUGUCUGAUAAUUCUCUCUGGAUACAUCCUAUGAAUUUUUGUGUAUAUUACUUGAGUCCUAACAAUGUACAAAGAUGAAAAAUCCAAAGAGAACAGGAAUUUCAGCAGCCAUUAGUAUGUAGUGUCUGAACUUACUUAUACUUGUACAUUUCUUCUUUGGUCACCUUCAGAUUAUCUUCGGCAGCUGACAGCUCAUUCUUGGUUGCAUCCAGUUCAUAAAGUGCCUCUUCUAGCUUCCGAAGAUGGGAAAGAGACAGUCAGCCCGAAAGGAACCUUCAAGAAUAUGGCUUCACUGACAUGGAAACUCACUCCCACACAUCUCCAGGCUUUAGAAGUACAAUCCACACCUCCACCUUUGAGGAUCCUGGUGCAGGAAAAGGCAAUCUUAGUGCCGACAAUAUGCCCUGAAGUCUAAAAUGAUGUGAACUGUCACAUACUCAUGCUGUUAUCUCCAGGAAACAUAUUUCAGAUGGAAGACUACCAACUGCAUUGAGUCAACCUACUUGAACUAGACCAAGUUCAUUGAUAAUGAAGGCAGCGAACAGCAUUGCUUAGAAAGGAUUGGUUUGCUGUGCUGCCCUCAGACUCCUUUGUUCAUGGUGCUGAUAUAAAGAGUUUCAACAUGACACUGUCAAGAAUCACAUGCAAAAAGUUCCUUUAAAACAGACAAAGUUCUAGAAAAAGAACACAAGCAUUUGCAUCUGGUCUCUCAGGCAAAUCUUCUGUUUUCUGCAGCAGCUGUAAUAUAGUGGUUUGGUUGUAAGGUGCUAAAGAGAGAAAGGUGGUCAGGUCACUCUACCCACCCCAAGAAGAACUUAACAACAGAACCCAGGUACCUGUGAGAGAGAGUGGACCCUCCCCCCAGAGUGGGAAGGAAUAACACAAAGCUGAGUCUUCAGGGGACAGUUUUGCUUUUCAACAUGAAUGAGGGAGGCUAAGGUCCUGAUCUUCUCCUGAGAAAAAAAAAGCAGCAGUGGACAAGGGAGGAAACUUGUGAGUGAGUGCACCCAAUUUCUAAGGAGCACAUGAAGAAACACGAGAACCAGAUGGAGAAGGAGGAAGCCUAGGAGAAAGGCAGCCUGGCAGUGGGAGCCAAUCUCCCCAGGACACAUCAGUGAAUUCUGAAACAGGCAAGUGAAGUUCAAAAACUGAACGAGUUUAUGAGUACAGGCUUAGAAGGAAACAAGUGAAGUUCAGCCCUAGUGAAACUGCAGGCUUUGGUUCAGAACUGGGAGAGUUACAGCUAAAAAAAAAUCAGGUAGACAUGAAAUAUCUAACUUACUUAGGAUUUGGGCUUCAGUGAGUGAUCUCAGUUAUACACUGGAUGAAGGGACCUAGUAUUGCUGAAGCCCCAAUGCAUUUUCCACAAAGAAACUCUCAUUGUUUCUGCAAGAGAAUUCAGUGUUUGUACCCACAUUCUCGACCCACGUCUCAUACUGAACAAGAAAUGGACCUGAUUCAGGGGCAUAAGAACAUGGGAUGAGACUAAAACUGAAAGGACAAUGUAGACCCAGGGAGGCUCCAAGUAUCAAAGUGAUUAAUGCUGGUACCUUUCCUUUUCUACCCCAAUGAAUCACACAACAAUGUGUGACAAGUAGUUAGAAUAGAAAGGAAAAUGAGGCUUACUCAAACCAGGUAGGAAGUCUAAUUCUAUAGAAUGCAUUUGGCAAAAAUACUCUAGGACCCAAUUCUAAAAGAAAUACAAUUAUCUAGACUGGCUGCCAUAUACAUUCAAACAACAGUAUUUGUGACAAUUGACACAGGAAUAGCUACUCUUCUGCAGCCAUUUUUCUUUGUUCACAGAAAUCCAUUGAAUCCAUUACCGUCUGUGGAAUACUUCAUCCAACAAUGGAAGAAUAUACAUUCUUCUCAAGCUCACAUGGAAGAUUCACUGACAUAGGUCACAUUGGGGGCCAUAAGAUACAUCUGAACAACCAAGGGAACAGAAAUCUCAGAGAGCAUGUUCUCAGACCAGAAAUGACUCAAAGUAGACUCAAGAACAGAAAGCUGGAGAAUGAGAAAAAUAAAUGGAAACUAACACACUUCUAAGAAAACACGAUGUUGUGAAAAGAAGGGCCAUCUGUACCCCAAUGUUUAUAGCAGCAAUGGCCAUGGUCGCCAAACUAUGGAAAGAACCAAGAUGCCCUUCAACAAAUGAAUGGAUAAGGAAGAUGUGGUUCAUAUACACUAUGGAGUAUUCUGCCUCCAUCAGAAAGGAUGAAUACCCUACUUUUGUAGCAACAUGGACGGGACUGGAAGAGAUUAUGCGGAGUGAAAUAAGUCAAGCAAAGAGAGUCAAUUAUCAUAUGGUUUCACUUAUUUGUGGAGCAUAACAAAUAGCAUGGAGGACAUGGGGAGUUAGAGAGGAGAAGGGAGUUGGGGGAAAUUGGAAGGGGAGGUGAACCAUGAGAGACUAUGAACUCUAAAAAACAAU